CCUACGGGUGGCUGCAGUCGAGAAUCUUCCGCAAUGGGCGCAAGCCUGACGGAGCGACGCCGCGUGCGGGAUGAAGGCCUUCGGGUUGUAAACCGCUUUCGAAGGGGAGGAAAUGCUGGUGGGUUCUCCCAUCAGUUUGACCUAUCCUGGGAAGAAGGAUGGGCUAAGUCCGUGCCAGCAGCCGCGGUAAGACGGACCAUCCAAACGUUAUUCGGAAUUACUGGGCUUAAAGGGUGCGUAGGCGGUGCGGAAAGUUGGGUGUGAAAUCCCUUGGCUUAACCAAGGAACUGCGCCCAAAACUACCGUGCUCGAGGAAGAUAGAGGUGAGCGGAACAGCGGGUGGAGCGGUGAAAUGCGUUGAUAUCCGCUGGAACACCGGUGGCGAAAGCGGCUCACUGGAUCUUUUCUGACGCUGAGGCACGAAAGCCAGGGUAGCGAAC
rnacentral:rRNA from 1 species